UGCACUUUUACGUGUUAAAAAAAUGUGUUUGUUUCACAUUUUAUAAGGAUCUUGGUUUCAGUUCUAAUAUACACUUUGGAGACUUACACAAGUUGAUAUAGGAUCUGGGAUCUCAAAGCUAAAAUCAUCCCAGGGCAGAGUAUUUGAUACAAAUAGGAAAGGUGCACUGCCAUAGGAAAAAAAAAAAAAAAAUAGGUCAGAUGGCACAUUUUUCCAGAACUAAUUAUUUAUAUUUCUCCCUAUCAGCAUUAUUGCAUACAGAAGAAAUGAGUAAAUAAGAGAAAGAAAGAAAGAAAGAAAGAAAGAAAGAAAGAAAGAAAAAAGAAAGAGAAAGAGCAAAAUUUAUCCAACUUACAUAAAAUGGAAUCUUUUUUAAAUCUUUACUUUGAAAUGAAGAUGCAGUUUUUAGGAGGCUUCCAGCCAAUCAUGAUAGGAGAAGGCCGAUGACACCUGUCAGUGCCCACAAUGGAAAGAGCAGAGCUGCUCUACAAUACAGUGCACCAAGCAGGAAAGAGGACAGUCCGGAAAGACCACACUCUCCCCACCCUCAAUUAAAGAGGGGAAUCAUCUGGUGUUUGAAAGGUACUAUUUAAUAUACAGUAUCUAUAGACUGUGAAGUAACAAAGGAUCUAAAUGAGAAGCCAAGUGAAUGAAAAAGCCCAGACUACAGUUAAAAAUAAAAUCUAAAUUUUCUUUGUUUUAUUGAGAUAUAAUUGACAUAUUAUAUUAGUUUCGGGUGUACGAAAUAAUGAUUUAAAUAUGUAUAUGCUGUGAAAUGAUCACUAAAAUAAGUCUAGUUAAUAUCCAUCACCACAUACUUACAGUUUUCUUUUUCUUUGGUGAGAACUUUUAACAUCAAUCUUGGCAACUUUCAAAUAUACAAUACAGUAUUAUUAAGGGUAGUCAUCAUGCUGCACAUUACAUCCCAUGACUUAUUUAUUUUAUAAUUGGAAGUUUAUACCUUUUGACCCCCUUCACCCAUUUUACCCACCCUCUACCCCCUCCCUUAGGUAACCACCAAUCUAUAAUCUGUAUCUGCAAUUUUGUUUUUUUGUUUUUUAGAUU